rnacentral:rRNA from 1 species
GACGAACGCUGGCGGCGUGCUUAACACAUGCAAGUCGAACGGGCCUUGUCCCCUUUUUUUUUGGGGGUGGGGUUAGUGGCGAACGGGUGAGUAACACGUGAGUAACCUGCCCCUCACCUCUGGAUAACCGCUUGAAAGGGUGGCUAAUACGGGGUGUUCUGGCCUGCUCGCAUGGGUGGGUUUGGAAAGAUUCGACCGGUUUUGGUUGUUUUGGUGGGGGAUGGGCUCGCGGCCUAUCAGCUUGUUGGUGGGGUGAUGGCCUGCCAAGGCUUUGACGGGUGGCCGGCCUGAGAGGGUGGGCGGUCACACUGGGACUGAGACACGGCCCAGACUCCUACGGGAGGCAGCAGUGGGGAAUAGUGCACAAUGGGCGCAAGCCUGAUGCAGCGACGCCGCGUGAGGGAUGGAGGCCUUCGGGUUGGGAACCUCUUUCGCCAGUGAAGAAGGUCCUGCUCUUUGUGGUGGGGUUGACGGUAGCUGGGUUAAUGAAGCGCCGGCUAACUACGUG